rnacentral:misc_RNA from 1 species
GAUGAAGAACGCAGCGAAAUGCGAUAAGUAGUGUGAAUUGCAGAAUUCCGUGAAUCAUCGAAUCUUUGAACGCACAUUGCGCCCCCUGGUAUUCCGGGGGGCAUGCCUGUCCGCGCGUCAUUGCAACCCUCAAGCGCGGCUUGCGUGUUGGGUCCUCGCCGAAUCCCCCAUUCCGGGGGGGCAGGCGGGCCCGAAAGGCAGUGGCGGCGUCCCGACAUGGGUGCCUGAGUGAAUGGGAAGACUGUCCGCUCUGAAGGCCCCGACGGCGCCGGUCGACAAACUGAAUCUAGUUAUUCCGGUUGACCUCGGAUCAGGUAGGAGUACCCGCUGAACUUAAGCAUAUCAAUAAGCGGAGGA